CCAAUAGCGUAUAUUAAAGUUGUUGCAGUUAAAAAGCUCGUAGUUGAAUUUCGGGAUCAAUAUGUUGGUCGUGCCUUGGUACGUACUGGCAUUAUUGGUUUCUACCUUCUGAAGAACCUCGAUGUCAUUAAUUUGGUGUCUUGGGGAAUCAGGACUGUUACUUUGAAAAAAUUAGAGUGUUUAAAGCAGGCUCGCGCUUGAAUACAUUAGCAUGGAAUAAUGAAAUAGGACGUUUGAUUCUAUUUUGUUGGUUUCUAGGAUCGACGUAAUGAUUAAUAGGGAUAGUUGGGGGCAUUAGUAUUCAAUUGUCAGAGGUGAAAUUCUUGGAUUUAUUGAAGACUAACUACUGCGAAAGCAUUUGCCAAGGAUGUUUUCAUUAAUCAAGAACGAAAGUUAGGGGAUCGAAGACGAUCAGAUACCGUCGUAGUCUUAACCAUAAACUAUGCCGACUAGGGAUCGGAUGAUGUUAAUUUUUUAAUGACUCAUUCGGCGCCUUACG
rnacentral:rRNA from 1 species